rnacentral:rRNA from 1 species
UACGGGGGGGGUAAGCGUUGUUCGGAAUUACUGGGCGUAAAGGGCUCGUAGGCGGCCAACUAAGUCAGACGUGAAAUCCCUCAGCUUAACUGGGGAACUGCGUCUGAUACUGGAUGGCUUGGAUUCGGGAGAGGAAUGCGGAAUUCCAGGUGUAGCGGUGAAAUGCGUAGAUAUCUGGAGGAACACCGGUGGCGAAGGCGGCAUUCUGGACCGAUAUUGACGCUGAGGAGCGAAAGCCAGGGGA